GUGCUAGUAGCUCAGUGGUAGAGCAAUCGGUUGUGGUCCGAUUGGUCGCAGGUUCGAUCCCUGUCUAGCACC
rnacentral:tRNA from 1 species